rnacentral:lncRNA from 1 species
UGGGUUUACUAUGUACUGUACCGUGGCUAACUUUUUUAGAAGAAAUAGUAUUUAAUAUGAAUUAAUGGACUCAUUACCACAAUUUUGAAUCCUUGCAAAUCUUCAUAAAUCUCUGACACACACACAUGAUAAUGUGCAGAUAUCUUUUGCUUGUAAAAAACUGAACAGAUUGAGUUAUUCAUUUCGUAAAUAUUGUGUACAAAUACAUGCUGCUUCUUUUUACCAACAUCUUCCUACCUCAAAAAUUGAAGACACAUGUUCUUCUGUUUCAACUUGAAAUAUCUUUAUCAAAAACCUUGUGGGUUGCUAUCAGUUUAUAUUGACUAUAUAGAAUUUAUUGUUGUGAUUAUUUACUGCACAUUUCAUGUCAACAAACUUGGAUUACAAUGGUCACGUGAAGCCCGCUAAGUUAAUACUGAUACCUAAACAAACAAAUCUUAAAGUUAACAACAACAUAUAAACAAUCAACAAAACUGAUAAAGAUGUACUACGUACACCUUUGCCUUGUAUAUAGGUUAUAUACCUUGGGUUCGGUGAAAAAAUUACCCAUGCCUCCCUCUCCUUCACUAAAUAAUCAACUGUAUUAAAUAGCAAUCUGUGUAAAUAUUGACCAUACUAAAUAAAAGUGUAAUUUACCUUCUGUUGUUAAAUGGUUGACGUCUGCUACAGUGGCGGCGAAGGUGAGGCCGGUGGCGGGGAAUGUGGCACUCGUUGUAAUAAUAAUUAGUGUGGGGAAGGGUCAGGUGGGCUAAUUGACGUUUUUGCGAGUUCUUUUCUUGGUAAAGGUUUUCAUUGCACUUCCAAUUACUGCAAUUAUUACAUUUAAAUAUAUAAAAUAUUGAUCAGAUAUACACCCAUCUCUCCUGCACUUCUUAUUUUACUUGAAAGUACACUUUUUACUUUUCCAGUUUAGCACAGUCCUGACAUUCCACUUCACAAACUUCAGUCACAACAUGAGCGUUGACUGAGAUCUGUUGAGACCAUCGGGCACCAAGCCUGAAAAGGUCAGGGGGACUAAUUGUAGUAAAAUCAUGCCUCCCCAAUGUUUCUGACAUGAGGAAUUGUCUGGUUGCCGUAGGCGUUGAUAAGAGGGGAAGGGAGACUACAGGGGAAAUUAUUUCGGAAAUCAAGAAUAUAGACUUAUUGCACCUACUUACCACUUACCUGCGUAAUAUAUUUGCAUAUAGAACUGGAGUUCAUAAUUCCACAUUUCGGAAGAUGUUGUUUUCAAGUUGUUUGUCCGACACAAGGGUUUUCUAAAGCUUUGGUGAAACGAUGGGAUUGGAGUUAAUACUGAGAGAGUUGCGACUCUUGUUUGUUGACCUCCAACUCCUGUGUAUUCUUCUGCAUUUACAUUAACUUCAGACUGGUUCACAUUUUACUGGAAGUUGAUGUGGGACGGCUAUGUACAGUUGCCCUGUGUCCCACGAAAAAUGAGUUAUGAUAGAAUGUGAUUUUUAUAAUAAUUGUUUAAUUUACAUCAUUUACCUUAUUAUGUAUUGUGUUAAAAUAUUUGAAAUGGCCAAAAAUGAAAAGACUAACCAAGUGUCAUCGUUUCGGAAUCCCGGUGUUGGUUGUCAAAACUGGAUUAGUGGCUAACCCUUGG